AUUUAUUUUUACAGCAUCUCGAGGGCUAGGGCUUGUGUCAGUGCUGCAGCACAUUCUUAACCGUUCCUUGUACUCGUGGACAACCCAUGCAGGAUUGUGACGCAUGUGCCAAAAGACCAUGGCUCAUUCACAGCUCAAUUCAUUAUAAUACUACCCAGUAUAAUAUGCAGCAAGGUUGAGUCAUUCAUGAAAGAACAUGAACAAAAGGGCAUCAAACACAUCCUUAAAGGGUAUUUUUAACCCUGGGCGCUAUUUUUCUAUAUUUUGGGGUCAAAUGACUAAUAGGUGCAAAAAGUUUUGGUCCAGUAGAUCACCUCAGCCAGCAGCAGCGAAACAGGCUGCAACGUAAUCCUCGGGGGCAAUUGGGCCUAUCAAAAGUAUGUACACUAAGUAUGCUUGUUUUUGCCACUGAGAGGCUCAGAUUGUUAUUCUAAGUGUCUGACACAAUUAUAGCAAGUAUCCCUACAGAGAUAGACCUUUGUUAAAGAUGGAUGCAUUUAUUAUAUUUUGUUGUUUAAAAUUUGGGUUUGGUCUGAGGCUACUGCGGUCACCAUCUUUGGCAAAUACUGUUACUAUGGUUACAAGUGUUCUCGUCUAUCACAACAUUAGCUGGGAACUGACUUUUUAUCUGAUCAUAUAACAGAAUGUCCAUUCAAAUAUAAUCCUACAGGCUAAUGUACAGAAUAAUGCAAUGACAAAGCCAGUGUUGUGAAGAUUGUCAAGCACUUGUACACAAGUGUAAAUGCAUGACUAAACACAAAUAUGUAAGUGUAAAAACUUAGCAUACUUAUACUGCAUCAGAUAAAAUCUCUUUAACAGACACACAGUCACAGCAUGUGAUCAUGUAUUUGAUACCAUUUGGCUUACGACAAUUGUGCUUCCAAAUAGCAUGGAUGACACUCACUUCAAAAAACAGGCAGUGGUACACACGCUCUUCAAAUUCAAUUUUAAACAAUGUGGCCACAGGCAAAGGCAGACAAACCCACUACUGUAUCAUGGAGUUACAAGCUACAACAAAUGUUGUGGCCAGCUCAACAGUCAUGCUGCCCAGACUCACUGCCUGAAUACCCAUGGCCAUCUUUUAAGAAGUAAAACCCUACACCACAGGUUGCUGUCUGAAUGAAUAAGUGGACAGCUCAAUUGUUUCCUCAAAAGAAGAUUCAAACCAAUGUGUCUCAGUGGUUUCAUCAGUUUUCUGUCAUGUAUUGCUGUGCACAGCUGAGCCACUAACAAAUGGAUGGCAGAACAGUGAUAGACAACAAGAAAAAUCAAAUGGCACUCUCUUGAAGAAGAGUGUCUCGAGAGUAAAGUCAGCAAAGCCAUCUCCAGACAAAACCUGCAUAUUAAAAUGUAUAUGCAGGCACUCAAAGUUUUGCUAGCACUGUGUUUAACUACAAAACAACCUGAAUGAACUUACAGCACAUCUGAGUCAACACACAGCAAAAUAUCAAACAUCUGUAUCUAUCAGAGCAAUAACAUGGAAUCACUACAUGUGUUCACUAAGGGACAGUGAACACAUGGGCAGUAUUGAGGCAAAACAGGAAUAAUGUAUUUCACAAUAACAAUUCAGUUACUUAGAUUACAUGUGAAACAUCCUAAUUUGACUGGUUAAGAGCUUCAUGAAUUUUUGUUCAGAUAUUACAGGAGGCUCCCAUAAAUCAUGACCAUUAUGGAGAGGUAGUACAGAGGCAGGUUACUUGCUGGAUUUUCAAAUACUAAGAUAACUAUUUUCAUUUGAGCACUAUUGCAGCAAUUACAAUCAAUGCCAUUGGUUGUUGGUUACCUCAUUGUUUGUUAUUGUCAGCCACUUUAAAUUAAAAAUGGCAAAAUGAGCCAUUGAAAUACAGCAAUAGAUGUCAAGUCAAAAUUAUAAUUUUCAGCAGGAUGUCAAACAAUGAGUGGCAGGAAAAUGAAAGUGAAAUCAAUGUCUGCCUUGGGAAAUUACCACUGUUCAUCCAUGUGUCAAGCCUUGUGUGUGUGUGGGGAUGGAAAAAAAUAACCAGGCCACACACCACUAAACACAACCAGGGUGCAAGUGACCUAGACAGAUGCCAUCAGUGAGAGAACUGACAGAGAAUAGAGAGAGCACAAGUAGGAGGCCUGAGUGCAGCAUGGAUCUAUAAAAUAUCUACCAGUAAACAAUGAUAGAAUAACAAGGAACAAAAGCACAAGAGAGAUAAUGUAGAUAAAACAUAUGGGAUGCACUUAGCUACUACAUGUAAAGAUGACAGCUUUUUUAGCUUUUUUUAAUUUAUUUUUUGGGGGCUUUUUGCCUUUAUUCGAUAGAACAGCUGCAGAAAUAGACAUGGAAUGUGGGUGAGAGAGAGGGGAUGACAUGCAGCAAAGGGCCACAGGCCAGACCCUAACCGGGCCGCUGCGGCAAGGACUCAGCCUUGUACAUGGGGCAAACGAUCUACCAGGUGAGCUACCGGGGCACCCCGAGAUGACAGUUUUUAAUGUGUUGUGGAAAAGCAAUGGAAUUUCUCUAUGUGUAUGUUUUAAAUGUUAAAGAGCCCUGUGGAUUAAUAGCUUCACACUUCGUUGAGCCUCUUCCCUUGAUAUCAUGUCACUAAUAGACCUAUUCUCUCGCACAAAUACAAAAAAGUGGCAUUUAUACACAGGUGCUUAAAACCCUACCAUCUCGAGACCUGAACUGUAAAUGAUUUUUUAUCACAAAAUUGCAUUUGCCUGUGAAAAGCACAAAAAACAUAAGCAUGUCAGCACACUACUGGAACACUGAGUAUCAAAACUGCAGCCGAUUGACUUUUUUAACGUUCGGCUCAGCAAAAGUAAACAAAAAGUGCUAGCUCCCAUACAAAUCAUGCUUCUUCCAUGCUGUGCGGAUGUGCCAGUAACCAUUACAUAGCAGUCAUCAGAUUCAAAUACAAAGUGUAUAAGUUUACAGCACAUGCAUCAACACACACGCAAACUCAUUUCAGCUAGAUGUCUACCCUCUACCAGUCACUAAUUUCCUUUCCUACCCCCUGCUCGAGGCAGGCCAACCAUACCAAUUUUAAUCCCCAAAGCUAUGUAGAAGUGCUAACAUGUGAAAAGGGAUUAAAGGUAAAAUAAGACUGUGUGUGCAUGUGUGUCUCAGAUAUGCCUGCAUUAGCAAGAUUUCAUACAACAGCUAGAUGUAGAAUAAAGGAACUUUCAUGUAGCAGGCUCAGGGCAUUUGGUCAGGUUUGUUUAAUUCAUUCCGUUUCCAAGUAGUAUGUAUAUUUCAUUUUGGAUCACUUCCACUACUUAAUAUUCAAUUCUUGUCGCAUUCUUGCCACUCAUACACGUGGCAAAGAGAAUAACAAUUACUGUCAGUUUUUUUAAACAAGUACAAGUUUGUGAGCUGUACCUCACUGGUGCCACACCUCUCUUCACGGACACCACUAUUUUCCCCUAUGUGCGUUCACCCACUCAAACACAUGUUGCCGUGCGUUGUGGUACUUUGGAGAACUCAAUCGACAUCCUACCCUUAGCUCCCCUUAGUGACUGUAAGCUGACUGUGUGGGAGGACUGGCUCUGAUCGAAUGGACUGUUGUGUUAUUGACUUCAAUUUAGAAAGUGCUGCUUGCUGCUCUCCCCCCCCCCUUUCAUAGCCGGGACCCUGCUGGCCCCUUAGCCACAGCCCACCUCAAGGGAAAAUCCCUGAUUGCACUGCUACGGAAAACACAUUUAAGCAAGGUCGCAGCUCCUGGAGUGGGGGGGAGAAAUAUCCCCCAUGGAAUAAUGACCCAUAUUCCAUUUUCAUCUUUCUUUGCAAUUGUAUCCCAAACAUAUGUUACUUCCUUCCUCAAGUCUUCCCAUAGUAAUUUAGCAAUAAUGUCAAAAUCCACUCCGGUGUCUGUUUCUCAACCUCCAGCCCUCCAUUGUCUCCUACCUGCUUAGGUGGACAGUUGCUGAAGUGUUGUAUUGUUGGAGGCUGCAGGUACAUCGGCACCCAACAUUUGAUGCUGGCUGCGCUCAUAGAUUAGACACACUUAGCUUGGCUUCUCAAAACCCCAAUAUGGGAAAAAAUGGAGACAGAGAAACAGCGGAUAUUACACAGGAAAAAUAACUGGCAGGGAGGUGAGUAAUCGCAUUUGAGAAUAGCAACACAAAACGCAUCUCCUGAACGCACACACAUACAAACUCCCAUCCCUUCUCUGCUGCAUAUACAAGUAUAAUGUUAGUUCAUGCCACAACAAUGACCCUUCAUACCUCCUUAAAGUAUACUUGACUAGUGUGUGUUUCUCAUUAUUAUGCUCACAUCAGGGAGCAGAUAGUUAAUUUGAGAACAGAUAAGGUAGACAGGCAACUAUCAGUAAUGAAAUCCAAAUUGGAGGCAUAUUAGAAAAACGUUCUGUCCACUCCCUACCUCCCGUCUGCUUUCUAACAUUGGAAAGUCAUUGGAAAGCAGUUUGCAAUAUUGUGUGUCUGUACCAAGAUAUCUGGCACAAGGCAAAAUACACAGUAAGAUAGAUGAAUAGGCUUACAAACACACAAACACAGAACUGUAAAACAAAGAUUAUUGGCAUGCACACACACACACACACACACACACACACACACACACACACAAUCUAUAUCUGCUGGACAGUGCUGCCGUAAUCUGGGUGUGGCCAGGUGGAUUUGAAAAGAUGAAAAGCUGUUUCAUUCUAUUCUUCCAUCCCUGGGUCUGUGCAGUAACAGGCCUCAGUUGGGCUAAUCCUCCCCUACAUGAAGCUUGAUGGAGAUUCUGGGAUUAACAGUUUCAUAGAAAUAACACUAUAAAGAAGGUAAUUGUUGCUGUGAUUUUAGGGAAAGGAGGGUAUUUGAAGGUCAGGGCAUCAGAGUGGGAUAGGAAAGAAAGGUGGACACUUUGAGUAUAACAAAAGAUCUGGGAGGAAGUUAAAUAAAUUCACCACCUUGGAGAUGGCAUGGUGGUUUAAGACGGUCUACAAGUAGGGAUUUCAUAUUAAUAUCUAGGGAGAUGUGCAGUUUUAGAGGCAAACUAAGCUUUUUGUAGUGCUACAUGUUUGAUACAAUUACCUCUAGCAGCAGGCUUUUCAUACUUGUCACUGUAUAAAGGCUACACAAAAAGCUAGACAAUAGUAUCGGUAUCAAGGCAAGGCAAGACAAAGCAUUUGUUAGUAUGCACAAUAAAUCACUGUUUAGACUGUCAUUUUAUCUUAUAAAAACAAGUAAGUGAACUGAGACAAGUAGAAGCAACGCAAAAGCCCAAUAUGGGACUAAUGUCACAUAUAAUGUUGCAGAGUUGAACAACUCACUAGUUAGGAAUUUUGUUUUGACCAAGCCAAGGACAUAAAAGCAAAAGAAGGAGAGGGAGGGGUGGAUCUGGAUGAAGAUGGCAUCUUUGCUCCAGAGGAGCUAAAAGUCUAGAAGAUUUAGCUGCUCUCUGCGGUGAAUUACUGUGUUUUCACCUUCACAUUGCUCAGAGAAUGAGACAUCCAUUUCCUAUGGCCUGGCAGUUGGCAAGGCAACAUUGUGAUGAACGCACAUACAGAGAUGCGCCAUGAAUUCUAAUGAGGCCAACUGACCAGUAACAUGGCCAGGGCAAGACAUUGGGAGCAUUAGCAAACGGUGAGAAAAAUGUAGAAAGAGACAACAUAUAAAAAUGCAUUAUAUCACAUGCUUGGCACAAUGAUAACACUUAAUUAAAAAAUCCAUUCUUAAAGAAAAAUGUGUCAGCAAUUAGUGAAAACAAAUGUUAAAAAGUUGAAAAUGUAAUACUUGUAAAAACACUCCUAUUUCUAAAUAUGCAUGAAGCAUCUCCUAUCUAGCUAUCUUGGUCCAUGCUGAUUGGGUUAACAGCGCUAACCUACUUGUAUCUUUCUUCUGCUUCCAGCUAACACGGCGCGAGGGCUAAUCCCUGCUCUGGCAGCCAGUAUGAACACAUACUCAACAUAAUGAAGCCCAUUAGUCUGGAGACAAUGGCUGCUAGCAAAGCUCAAACACUGACUAACACAGGAUAAGAGAAAAAAAGAGGAGUGAAAAUGCUCAUUUUUUUUACUGUGUGCAUUCAGUAGCCAUGACCUGAUAUUGCCCUCAUUUGAGAGCACACACACUGUCACACACACAAAAACAUAUGCUGAGUGAGCAAACACAAUUAACUUGAGACUGGCCUGCAAAUAGUAGACCAGAGGAACACUGUAGGAAGUAGCAAUUUAGAGAAAGAGAGUGAGGGCAAGAUGACAGAGGGAAGAACAGAGGAAGAGAGAACAAAAUAAAGGCAAGAAAGAGGGAAACAGUACAGCAAGAGCAAAAGAGAAAGGAGGAGCGCAAAAAUGAGGGGGAGAAAAAAAGAAACAGGGCAAGAACAAAGGCAGUGUAAGAAGUGUAACAAAAAGGCAAAAAAGCCAAGAAGAAAGGAGAAGGAGUGAGAAAAAAGUUGAGAGUAGGUAGAGAUUAAGAGAAGACCAAAAAAACAAAAACAACAACUACAUGACAGACUUUCCAUAUGUUUGUCAUGUAGUUGUCUUGAGUGGGAAUUUAAUGUAAUAAUGAUGGGGCACCCCAGUAGCUCACCUGUUCACCUGGUAGAGUGCAUGCCCCAUGUACCAAAGCUGAGUCCUUACCGCCCGCGGCCUUUUGCUGCAUGUCAUCCCCCCUUCUCUCUCCCCCUUUCCUGUUUAUCUUCAACUACACUAUCAAAAUACAGGCAAAAAAGCCCCCCAAAAUAAUAAAAAGAGUAAUGACAAAGCAAUUCAUUACUAGAGAAACUACAUUAAAAGCAAAAUAGUUAAUUCUUAUUAAACCAUGUUUGUCGUUUUGUUUGACUAACCUAACCUGCCCACCCAAGUUGCUCCAAAGAAAUGUGCCACCUAAAUGCAUUAAAUGAAAAUGUCAUAGGAUGUUCAAUAAAGGAUAAUGCUGAAAAUGUUAUCAUUAUUAGUAUGCUGUAUUGAGUGGAGACCACACAAGGUCAGUGAAAGAAGACUAGCAAGACUGAGCAGGUAUUGGGAUGAAACAACUCAUCCAACCUGGGCAUAGGGAAGCCUCUAGUAUACGCUAUUGCCUAUUAUAAUCUCUUGAUACGCUGGCAUAUGAUUGGUGUGUGUGUCUCUGUGUGUGAUGAGAAAAAUGAUAAACAGAAAAAAUCCCUACCAAGCAGUUUAAGCCUUUACUGGGACACUGAUAGCAGCAUGCAUGUCAGUGUGUGUGUGUGUUUUACACAUAUUCUCUUAUAGAAUGAAUUCCUGGAAAUUUAAAUGAAAAUGGGAAAGGAAGUGUCUAGUAGCAGGCUCCUUUACCUCAAGGUCAGCAUCAUAGAGUUUGGGGUGUAUGUGUUGGUGUGUGUACACAUGUUUAAGUACGGUGACCUGGAAAAAUUGGUUUAAGAUAAGAUUGUGCCAGGGUGGGCACUGGUAUGCAAAUCGGACACUGGGAUAUUACUGGAUUCUUAGAGGGCACACACACGAUUUGUAAUUUUAAGACAAGCCCAAAAAUAGUAUGCCUCUUGUCUCCUUGUUAAAAUAUGUCUCUCUUACACACACUCACUGAAAAUCAUAUGUGGAUUGCCCAAAGGCCUAUACUAUAAAUCCUUUAUCCUGGCAGUGGCAGAGGCAAUGACAUUAUCAUUAUUAGAUCUCUUAUUUGACUGUGCAUUUCUAAACUCCGAUUUUCAUUGUUGCUAUACCAUACUGCAGGCCAUUCAUCCAAAUUCAACUAGUGACAUGCACACACAUGCAAGCAGACAUAGGCUGCUGACCUUCAUGUGAUUGGCCACAGCCCAGAUAUGCUAGCAUUCAUCUCAGGGGAUGGGUUCUGUAAUGUUACAUGCAUAUAUCCAACAUGUAGGCUGACAAGGCGCACCGAAAGUAGGUCGUGCCCCAACCUACACCCAGUGCCCUCCUAGCCUGGUGCAGGGGGGGGCUCCAUAGAGCCUUGGGUGAAGCAGGGAGGACAGGGGUCACACAGCAGGGGCAUAGGGCUGCCAUGACAGGAUGAAGGUCCCACAAAUCUGACAGCUCAUAAAGCUAUCAUCGGUCAGUCCUGGAGGUAAGGCCUGACAACGCUAUUCUUGUCAAGAUAGUGUACGGAUACACUGGCAUAACCUAAACUUCGAAAGACACUUCAAAUGAAGUGUUUAGCAAGGUUUGCAAAUUCUGCAUUAGCCUGAACAACCAAAUCAGGUUCGAAAUUUGGAAUUCAGGUACACCCCUAAAAAAAGGCCAAUAUGUUGGAAAAGACUUUUCUGGUUCACCUCUUUGUUAAUGUCAGGAAUGCCAUAUGAGCCGCACACAUACACAGAGACACAUGCUGGACCUUGAGAGGACCUUGAAAAAACCUUGCCGUGAUCACAGAGUUUGGCUGACCAUCAAGCUAUGCUGGCCAUUCCAGGUCAGGAUCAAACUAUAACGCAAGGGGUUGACCACAUUUGGUCAGUGGAGCAUUACAGUGUUUGGCAGGCCAUGACCCAGGCUCCAUCAGUAGUGAGAAAGCAGAGUGUCCACUCACAGACAAAUUUAGAGUGGGAAUAGAAAAGACAGGAAUAGGACAAAUAAAACAGGUGAGGGCCAAGAGGAGAGAGCUGCCCUGGCAGCAUUGGUCAUGUUAUGAGUCAACUGAUGAUUUUGGUUAGUAGUCUGGGAUGUACUGUGCUAGGUGGGUAAAACACAUCCUGAACUCAUUUUGGGUCACUUACUCAUCAAAUGGUGGCACACCACACCUACAGAGCAGAGCACAGGCACCAUCUGACACACAAACCAAGCUAGCAGUGCCAGUAUGCACACUGUACAACAUUUGAUUUUUGUCAUCAAUAAAUCACACAGAGAACCACCAGCCUUCAUUUGCAGUUGGCUUAACUGACAACAGAUCAAUAAAAUGUUGAUGUUGUUUUGAGCAGCAUAUUUGCCACACAUCCUGCAUUUGUUUUAUAACCUGCUUAUAUGUCUGCAUUAUCUCAUGUUUGCACUUGCUCAGAGAAGGAUGCAAUAGUGCAGCACACCUUUGAUAUCACCCUCCACAUGGCCACGGUGCUAGGGAAUCCCUGUGGAAAGGAAAGGAAAUAACCUCUUUCUUAAAGGAAAAUCCCCCCUAUACUCCUGUGGCUGCCACCUCACUGUUACAUGUGCUUCAUUGAAGCCCAUUCGUAUUCAACUGCAGUGAAGUCAAGGAGAAAGUCUGUGUGUGUAUGUGUGUGUAUAAUAUAGGAGUUGGCUCUAUACUCCUGUGCCGGUGGGAAUAACGUACUGCGCUACAGGCAGUGUGACCUUUUCUAGCUGGCGUGCUUUCUCUCCUCCCUCUCCCUAUUUCUCUCUCUCUCUUUCACACGCUUACUCUCUAGCUUAGACACAAACACACACACACCUAGCAGCACUGUCACAGCUAGCUUUACUAACCAUUACUUACCCAUAGUUUCCCAGUUUAAUGGACAUGAGGCUUAUACAAAUCAUUGGAGAUAGAUGGGUGAUGGGACAGUAGGGUGCGUUUGUUUUGCCUCCUCUCCUGCAGCAGGAAGGUAAAGCAUGUCUUGUUUUCUCCUGUUCGGCUUCCUCAACAUGACCUUUAUGGCUGUGUGCUUCUUGAAGCGACAGUUUGUGCUCAAACUGAGGGUUAAGGCCUGCCUGUUUAGAGUGUUCUAACUACCUUACUACCAUACAUGAUGGGGGGGGGUGUAGACACAGAGCAGAAAAUAUUGCUCUGUCUUUUGAUUUUAUAUCAUAUACUGCACUUUCUUGUAUAUUUUCAGUCUUCAAAUGAAUACAUUCUUUCACUUUUACAACUCACUUCUUAAAUCCUACUCUGUACUAUCUAAUAUAUGGUAUUAAUAAAGUAACCUAAUCAAAUUAUUACAGUUUAAAACUUUUAGUUCCAGUGCACUGGAGAGAUUGAGAUGGAUAUAGCUUUAAAAAACAAAACUCAAGAGGAGAUUUGGUGACAAGCACAAUAAAACAGUGACAAAAAUUGAUGCAAAUGUGAGCUUGUAGGAGAUUGUAUAUAAAGAGAUAGCCAGCCAGAGAGAGUAGAGUGACACAGUGACAGAUGAAGAGUGAGCAGAGAAGGAAAGACAGCGAGGAGGGUGAGGGUGAAGUGGGUGGAGGGUGGGGGGGAGUUAAUGCACAAAACACACUGCAUCAAACCAAAGAACUGCUCCGAGCAGGAUGCGUCAGCAGUCCAUUCAUGUUCCUCUACUUUCCACUAAAGGACAAAACAAAAAAAGAGUGAGAGCGAAGGGAGAUAAAGUGAAAGAAAAUCAAAGAUAAAGAGAGAGAAAGCAGAGAAGGGAAAGAGAGAGGGCAUUAUGAGAGGGAGAGGGGAAGCGAGAUAGUGAGAGAAACAGUGUCACAUCUGCUUGCCUUUGCCACCACAGCAAUGCUGGAAAGCUUUGCCAGACUCGUUGGAAUGGCUGGAUCAUUGCUUGGGAGGAGGGGGUUAAAAUCUGGUUGCUGUGGGGAUGCCACUGUCCAUCUCUGCCUUUUGCUUGGACAGCCUAUCUAUUCCCCUAAGCCACACAAAGCCCCAGAAAGCCACAGAACAAGAGACUCUGAGCAUUAAAAAAAGAGGGUAGGACAGCAGGAGCAAACUGGUUUUUGAAGAGGUAGAUCUCUAAAAAGGUCUGAGUGCUUUGAGCUCACCCAAGUACCUUAGGACACUGCAGAGAGAGCAGGAGGGAGGCAGGGAGGGAGAGAGCGAGAGAGAGAGAGAGAGAGAGAGAGAGAGAGAGAGAGAGAGAGAGAGAGAGAGAGAGAAAGAAAGAGAGAGAGAGAGAGAGAGAUAGCGAGAGAGAUCCAAGCCGGCGCACGCUCUCUCUUUUGCUGCUACAACGGAUCCUUUCCACAUCGACGCUACUGUUAACGUCACGCCUCUAAGCCGCGCGCUCGCCCAGCGCUUGCCUUCUCUGUCUUGCUCCUCUCCCCAGUCGGACGCUGCAUUGGCGAGGGGGUGCUGAUCACCACAAGGAGAGGGGGAAAAAAAAACUAGAAAACAAGAAGAAAAAAGAAACAACCCGGAGAGAGGAAGGAGAAACUGCGCACCACCCCUCCUCCCUCUAACCCACCUCGAUCAACCCAGCUACAACAACCCCACUCCUCCCAGCACCCCCUUCCAUCCCCCACCCCACUCCCUCUCUGAAGAAAUUGACGGAUUAUUGGGAAGUGCAAGGGAGGCAGGCUGCAGCUGCUGCUGUGUGUGCUCGCUACUGCUGCUGUGUGCUUCGCAGGGAUGGUGUGUGCGCGUUUACAAUUGCUGCUGUCGCCACCGCGGCUGCCGAUGCUGGAGCGUGUGGCUAGUUAAGAGGAGGAAGAAGCUAAUGAAGGCAGUGUGUGUCGCCUAGCCCUUUCAACCCCCGCUGAGCACUCCUGGAAGAAAAAAAAAAGCACAAAACAUUAAUAAAUAAGAAAAAUCAAGUGGACAUGACGCCACUUUGAGAGGAGGAGCAAGGGGACGAGAGGGAGAGAGAGAGAAAGGCUGUCAGACUGACCAACCGACCAACUGAUUGACCACUAAAAAGUGAACAGAGGAAUACAGAGAGGAGGGGGUCUAUUUUUUCCCCCCCGGGUUGUCAACCUCCCCUCCUAACCAUCGCAAACAAAAGGCAAAGAACACUGAAAAGGACUGUGGAAUUUUUAUUCAACCUUCUCCAAUCCCACCCCCACCUACCUCCCUCUUUUUGUCCUUUCUGCCUUGGCUUUUGGUGCACAGAAAAUUGUGCAUGUGUGUUUGUGUGGUUGCUUGUGCUAUGGAGACCUGUGUAAGGUGUCUAGCGGGGGGAUCAACUGUCGGAUUCCAAGGACAAGCAAGAGAAGAGGAACCAACAGCAAAAAGCGAGCAAGGGAGCACUGCUGCUUUGGGAGCUUGACUGGAUUCCUAUCUGCAAUCUUUUAUUUUCUUUUGCUUUUUUUCUAAAUCAACAAAAGAGGGAAAAACACUCACAGGGCCUUCAAACCUUUCUCUUUGGAUGUGUGGAUUUACAAAAUAGCUCUGGUUAAGUUCUUUGGCACUGAUACCUGUUUUGACAGAGCAAAUAUAAAAAGGCUUUCUUUGCUGCUCUUGGGAUAUACAUACAUCUGAUGUGAAUACCACAGCUCUUUCUGGUUGCAAACUGGAGGGAAGCUAUAUAUCUCAGUUCAAGGACCUGUAAUAAUAACUUGAGGAAUCGUGAAGCCAUUUGAAAGAGGAAGCAAGGCAAGAUGCACCUACUUACCCACAGCCCAGAGAGCCUGGAGAGGGAGGGAAAGGAAAGGAUGAGAGAUUACAGUUUGAGGAGGAAGAAGAUAAAGUGGUAUAGAAAUUAAGAUGUAGGAAAGAAAAGUUAUGUGGGAAGGGAAACCAGUUUGGGUUACAAAAGGGAGCAGAUCUGAGGAGCAAAGAGCAAACAGCAAUGGAAAAGACAAUAUAUACACAGAAAUGGGUCAUGGCUGGAUAAGAUGGCUGAUGGUACAUAGAAGUGUUUCUGGGGGACUAAAAGAAAAAGAUAUGAGAAUGAGAAGUGAGAGGUGAAGGGGGAAGGGAAUUAAGGGAGAAUCAGGCCACAAUGAAAACAACAAGUAGGGAGGGAGAAGAAAUAAAGCAAAAACAGAAAAGAAAAAAAAGAGACAGAAGAAGUGAAAAUUGAUUGAAAUAAAAUGAAAAUGAGAGAAAAAGAAGAAGAGCUUGAGCUACCAGAAGAGGAGAAAGCAAAGCACUAAGAGUGAGAGGAAGAAAGCAAAGGCGCUUAGGAAAAGAGUAAGCAGAGCAAAUGUGAUGCAAGAGUGCCAGCUACAGAUAGAAUAGGGGAUAUAUAGGCUGGCCAUCAUGCCUUCAUGAUUGGUGAAUGGCCUGGACUGCACCACAAGGGGUAUGGUGGUGGUGGGGUGUUACCAUAGCACAGUGCAGCAGAUAAGAAGUGCUGAUACCACUAAUGGACUGGACCACUACUGAUACUUGAGAAAGAGAGACCGGUGAAUAUGAUGGCAGAGAGGAUGGGAGGAUCAAGAGGUCAGUGCAAAUGGAACUGCAGGGACGAUAACUGCCACAGUGCAACCAUGUGCAUGUGUAUGUGUUUUGAGUGUGAUCAAAAGGACAUGGAAUUUAACAGUCCUUAAACUGGCAGUAAAAAACAAACAAUACACUUUCUCCCCCAUUCAAUUUAAAAGCUCAAUCUCAACUUAAAAAGGGUUCGUAGGACAUUUUGAAAUCCAAUUAUUUUGAUGCAAUCUCUUAAUUUGAUAUUUUUUCUCAUUGUAAAUUACUAUGCACUGAGGCGCCGAAGAUGGCAGUAAUAAAAUGUUAUUCCAUUAAAAUGACCUAAACCAAUAGGCAUUAUAAUUUCAAUUGAAUCUGCCAAUUUUCAGCCCUUCACUCAAUCAUGUAAGUAGAAACAUUGAAACAUGUUCAACUUCUGUCAAAGAGGCAAUAUUUUACAUUGUUCGAUCAGUGUCUGCUAAAAUGUAUCUAGAAGUGUUUGCUAGAAUUUCUAAUGAUUAAUUGGAAACAAUCAGACUUUAACCUUUAACCAGAUAAAAACCAGUUGACAUAAUAUAUCUUUUUCCAUGGUGACAAGAAGGCAGCAAAGUUACACGUUGAGUGUACACCAAUUACAUACAUACAUACAAUAAAAUACAAAACAAUACAUUAAAAGUGGUACAGAACAGCUAAUAUCCACAUAUUAACAGCAGGGGUUAAAUGAGCACAGAAAGUUCAAUCAAUCUCUGUUAAAAAUGUGCUCAAAACUACAGUAUAUUAACAGAUUAUAGAAAUAUGGUGGCACAACUAUAUUUAUGCAUUCCUGGGACCUUGGUUCCACUCAUGCAGGUGUUUUACGGGGCUGAACUAAAUAGUGAAUUUCCAUACACUUAGGAUUGCUACAUCUUUGUCUUGGCGUAGUUGUCUAUAUACAGGAACAGCAAGGAUAAAAGGUGCUUCUUAACCCAUUAGCCUUUUCUGCUUGAUACAUGCAUUUUUUUAACAUGCCUGUUCUAUUGAUAUGAAGUGCCUUGCAUGUUGAGUUUUAUGUGAUUUAUGUUUUUGAGAAAAGCCUGCAAGUUGUGCAUAAUCAUAAGCUGGAAAUUUGUUUCAUUCUUUGCUGAAUAUCAAUGUGGAGUGGAGAAGCAGGACCAGCAAUUUUUUAAUGGCAGCCUUAUUAUAUGAUUCAAUUACCUAAUUUACCUGGACUUUGCUACCAAUUGCUGUAAUUGUGUUUUCAUGCAGUUCUAUUUUCUAAGCUUUUGAUUGAUUAUUGAUAAUUAACAUUCUGUAGCCAACGGUAGAUUAGGGAAACAGCCUAAAAUCCGCAUCCCUAGUUCAAGAUAGGGAUGUGUGCUACAUGGCGCAUGUGGUAGGAUUUUUGUGUGAGCACUAGCUAGUGUGCUAGUGGAGCAGACAGGAGGCUAUUCUAAGCAGGCCUAGGAGCGCGCUGCUUUGUGAGUCAACAUGAGUCAGGGCCAUGAGUUGUUUGGUCCUAAUGUCAAAUACAGGGACUGGGAUGGGAUGCAGAGUCAAAGGUACUCACCCUACCUUGAAUAUUUGGCUUUAUCACGUUAUCUUUGCUUAGUAAAUGAUUAAACAAACAAUAUUUUCUAUAUUGAAAAUACAUUUUAUAUACAGCGCAUUAUACAUGUUCAUUUUCUUUGAAAUAUCAAGAAACAUAAAGCAAGAAGGUAGAGGUGAGGAAAUGGUGAAAGGCAAGUUGAUGUUUGCUGGUGCAUCUGACUUUGACCAUGUGAAAACUAAUGCAAAUAGCCAUAUUCAGUGACCAGCUGGUGGUAUGAUUUGUUGUUACGGAGGUCACCAGAGGCAGAAGAAACAUUUUCAUCACAGUAAAAUGUUGGCAAUGAGCCCAGUGCCGUCGAGGAUGUAGUGUUAAAUAGGUGCAUGCCAACAGAUUUUACUGGAUAUAUACCAUGGUCAAAUUAACACAGAUUUUGUUGUUAAAACUGAGACUGAAUGGCAGGUGGGUUGUGUGAGCUAUUUUUGCCAUGUAGAGGACCACUCAAGUGUGUUACUCCCUGUGUUUUCUUAGCAGCCAGCGACGAUGAAGCCUUACUUUUAUGAUCCUGUCCAGUAGCUGAGGCCCAGGUGUGUGUAUGUAGUAAAUCACGUCCACUGAGAGCAGUAAACGACGGACUGAAACAUAUGUGAGGAGGGGGUGUGUUGAGGGUGUUGUGUGCACACAAACACACACAAAGUCAUGCACAUACACACAGAGCAAAAAAUGAAGCCAUUGACCAUUAAUUUCACUGCUUUUGUUGAAAUUUACAGCCUGGAGAGAAAUCAUGAUCAUAGGCGCAGCAUCACCAAGGAUACUGUGAUACUGUGCUCAGGAUCAGCCCUCAUUCACUCACUCACAAGCAGAAAUACAUACACACACUAACACAACAGAAUAAAUAUCCAAAGCCACCCAGUUAAAAUGCCGUCUUUUGAAUUCUCACUGUAUUAAUAUGUUGGUUCGAUAUCAUUUAUAACUGAAAUAAGCACAAGCUCCCCAAUUCUGCUUCUGUUUAAUAAAAGGUUUGAGGCAGCUUAUUAAUGGGCUUAAACAGAGUGCAAAAAGGCAACUGUGCUGACCAUCAAAAGCCAUGAUAUACAGUAAGAGAUGUCUGUAUUUUCUUCUGAAAUUAUCAAUUUGUACUGCCUUUAUUUAGUACAUCUUCCUGCCUUGGGUAUGGACUGUGUUUAAGCACAGUGAGAGGCUGUAGCUGAAUCUAGCUUUUGUUAUGCACAAUUAAAUAUUAAAAAAAGAAUAGGGUUGGGGAUGGAAAGAUAGUGAACCUAUCCUUUGACAACAUUACUGUUUCAAAAUGCUUUGCUAAUCAUCAAGUAUUUCUUAUCACCUUGCCAUAGAAACAGCAGUACAUGUAUACUGUAGUAUAUGCAGUUUACUGAAGAGUGUGAAACCUCCCUUCCUUCCUGUAAUUUCACCAUUUAUUCAGACUUUUACAUCUAUGUUCUUGUGUAAAGACUCCACUAUUAAGCUGCACAGAUUUCCAUGGCACUCCUACAUGUUCCCAUGCAAAUGCAGUCAAAGAAAGACAUCAAGAAAGACAUACACAGUGUGCUGAUAAGAAAAUCUUUGCUUUCAUAUUGCAUGUACAGUCUAAGGAAAGAAGUGAGGAACAGGAUUUCAUCUUUUCUAGGAUGAGAAUGAGUGAAUCUGGGUGUAGACAUUUUGGUGAUUGUGGAGGGGUGGAAUUGGGGUGACAAAAUGGCCUCCUGCAUUGCUCAAGAUAUGAGAAGAAAGGAGACAGUGAGAAAAACAGACAAGGGUAAGAGAAUUAACUCAGGUGGAUAGUGAGGGCGACACAUUAUCUAUGACACCCUGAUUUGGUAUGUCAGAGGAUAGCGGUGCUAAAUGGAAAGAGGACACAGAGAGAGACUUGGGCAAGAAAAGGAGAGUGAAGGAGGGAGACGAGGGGCAAGGAUGAGGAACAAAGAGCAAUACAGAUGAGAAAGAAAGAGCAGAAUUGAAAAGGUGACUGCAAUAGAUAUGAAGCCCCUAUCUGACACAUUAAGGAGAGCUCAGUAUUCGUUCUUUAGUAACUGUAGGAUCAUGAAUUUACACUGAUGUGGACUUCAAGAUGACUAGCAGUGUGCUAAUGUCAAAGAAAACUGCACUGCUGAGCACAGAAUGGCACAUGAAAGCAACAUCAAGAUGAAAGCUCCGAUGAGCUGCGUAGCGCAUCCAUGGGUUGAAACAGUUUUCAUGCGGUGGCAGUAUUAUUCAGCCGAUGCACCAAACUGCUCUGUGUGUUUGAAUGUGUGUGCGCAGUUAGGUCAGCAGUGAUCUUUAAAGAUCAAACAAAUUAAUAGCCAACCUCUGUCCAACCUGUUUGCAGUCGACAAGUAAAGCUUUACUGCAUUGUAGGUAGUGAAGUCUUUUUGCCUCCACUUGAGUUUUUAUUAUUUAGGGGGCAUUUGGAAAUUUGUCAGGAUUUGUUAAUUUACUUUAUCUCAGCAGAAUAAAAUUUAGAUGCAACUCCAAUACUUAAAACAGAACGGGAGGGGAAAUAAGCUCAAAAGCUGUUUUUAUGAGGCUGUGGGGUCCAGGUGCUGAUCCCAGCCACAAGUUUUAAUUGAUCCCAAAUAAAUGGUGUCUCCAAAGGUGCUAGUUUAAAAUACAGUCCUUAAUAGAAAAGGAUGUGGGUUUGCUGGCAGAUCUAAGGCAGCAGUGAAACAAUAAGACAAACAUUUAGCUCAUUCCUUUUUCUCUUUAAUUCUGACUUCAAAUAAAUCUUGUUGGACUUCAGCAUAAAGAAGAAAAGAAGAGAGCUGUGAAGUAGUCUGUUUGUGGAUUUGUGUGUGGUGUAGGGGACACAUUUGUUUGAAUUUGUAUUGCACAUGUAGAAAAAAAAACAUGUUCAUUUGCAUACAUGUAGCAGUUAUCAUUGUUGAGUUAAUGUCCAAUGUCCAGCGGGUUUUGGUCUUGUGUUUAGAUGGGAUUCAGCCCUGUAAAACACUUGAAAUACAGAUGUGUGAUUGCAUGCUGUCUAUGUGAAAGAGCUUGUGUAGGAGUCUCUGCAGGUGAACCUGUGCCAGUCUAGCUAUGCCACCUCCACAUAAAAACUGAUCAAAGUAUAUGCCAUCCCACAAACAGACAGCAAAGAGUAUUUCAAUCCAGUAGCUGCUUAUUUAUGUCAGACAAGGAGACAACACUUUAACUUUGUGAGAUCCUCUACAGCUGCAUUGGGACAACCUAAAAAGUAAGUUAUUGGAGGAAGAAAUGAUAAACAUAAAAAUGUAUUUUAUUAAAUUUAAGUUGGAACUUUUAUACCUGGCAAAUAUAUACAUAAAAGGAAGGGCACCGCUACAAGAAAAGGAAUUGGAGGGAUUGAAAUUUCUGACAACACAACUACAAUAAACCAAUUGUUCAGGACAUAUCCUUCAUCACCACAUGUUAAGUGUCAGUAUGUCUACACCUACAUUUCAUGUGCAGUGAUGUGGGCAUCAGGGAGGAUUUAUUUUACAUAUUUAUUUCCAUUAGCAGAGCAGAAGUUUUCCAUGAACAAUAAUUGUUUUCAUGGCAGUGUUAAGCAUAUCAGAACCAAGAACUUUUCAACAGGAGGUGAAUCAGAGGCGCUGUGUGGCCCCAAGCUGAGUGCGACCUCGUCGGCCUGGCUGAUGUAAGAGUAUCUGCCCAAUGGGGAAGCCAAUAAUUAGACAGCCAGUUAUACUGCUUCUCUCCCCUCACCACUCUCUUGUCCCUCAUUCCAGCUAAUUAAACACAACCAGACACAUCAAAGACAUAUAUGUGCAAGCAGGCCUGUGUUUGUCCAUCAAUUGCAGUUAUGUUGUUGCAGUAAAAUGACUUCCAAUUUUUUCAAUAGUUGGGGAUGUACUUGAGCAGUGUAAACAUGAGGGAAAGAAAUAAAAUUAGUAUCAUGAAACAGUGAUAUGAGAAGCAGAAGGCCUAUAGAGUUAGUAAUCUAAUGGGAGUGGAAUACUAUGAGAAGGAGACAUGGAUGUGGCUCAGCUCAUGGGAUGAGUGUUGAGAGGGAGUAAAGGUGUAGAAGGUGAAAAUA